GAUGAAGAACGUAGCGAAAUGCGAUAAGUAAUGUGAAUUGCAGAAUUCAGUGAAUCAUCGAAUCUUUGAACGCAUCUUGCGCUCCUUGGUAUUCUGAGGAGCAUGCCUGUUUGAGUGUCAUUAAAUUCUCAACUACACUGACUUUGAAUUGGUGUGGCUUGGAUUUGGGGGGAAAAUUGUUGUGGGCUUUUUGUAUAGUCUGCUCCCCUGAAAUUGAUUAGCGGUACCUUUGUGGAACUGUCUACAGGUGUGAUAAUUAUCUACAUCUUAGACAUCUGCUGGAAUGCUGCUUUCUAAACCUUACUUGUAUUGACAAUCUUGACCUCAAAUAAGGUAGGACUACCCGCUGAACUUAAGCAUAUCAAUAAGCGGAGGA
rnacentral:misc_RNA from 1 species